AGUGAACGCUGGCGGUAGGCCUAACACAUGCAAGUCGAACGGCAGCGCAGUAAACUCUUGCUCUUACGGGGGGCGAGUAGCGGACGGGUGAGGAAUACGGCGGAAUCUACUUUUUCGUGGGGGAUAACGGAGGGAGACUUAUGCUAAUACCUCAUACGACCUACGAGUGAAAGCAGGUUAGCUUCAGACCUUUCCCGCAUUCAAAGGCGGACGUUGGUUUAGUUAGUUGGCGGGUGAAAGGCCGACCAAGGCGACGAUCCGUAGCUGGUCGGAGAGGAUGGUCAGCACCAUUGGACCUGAGAACCGGUCCAGCCUCCUACGGGAGGCAGCAGUGGGGAAUAUCGGACAAUGGGGGAAAGCCUGAUCCAGACCUACCGCGUGGGUGAGGAAGUCUUCCGGGUUGUAAAGCCCUUUUGUUGGGAAGGAAAAUCAGCAGGUUAAUACCCCGAUCUUCUGACGGUAACCACAGAAUAAGCACCGGCUAACUUCGUG
rnacentral:rRNA from 1 species